UACGUAGGGUGCGAGCGUUAAUCGGAAUUACUGGGCGUAAAGCGUGCGCAGGCGGUUUUGUAAGCCAGAUGUGAAAUCCCCGGGCUCAACCUGGGAACUGCAUUUGGGACUGCAAGGCUAGAGUACGGUAGAGGGGGAUGGAAUUCCGCGUGUAGCAGUGAAAUGCGUAGAUAUGCGGAGGAACACCGAUGGCGAAGGCAGUCCCCUGGACCUGUACUGACGCUCAUGCACGAAAGCGUGGGGAGCAAACAGG
rnacentral:rRNA from 1 species